rnacentral:lncRNA from 1 species
AACAUGGAGUAUUCAAGAUGUUUUAUUGUUAAUAUGACAUUCUUGUUAGUUCUUUUGAUCAUGACUUCAGGUUAUUAAUGAUGUUCUUUUCACUCUCUUUAGUUUCUAAAUUCAAAUGAGUCUUAUUCUUUUACACUUCAGAUUUGAUUUCUUAUGAAAUCAAGUCUUUCACGUAGUUUUUGUGUGGAAUUAGUAUUAUUGUUUUAUUUGAAAAAUUAAGUUGGUAUUGUUCUUAAUUAGAUCUUUGUGAUGCAGAUUUGUGCAUGAUGAAGACAGAAGCAAGAGGAAUCAUUUAUCCAUUACGACACCAAGCACCACCACCACACCACCAUGGCCCACCACACCAAGCACCACCACCACACCACCACCCACAUCACCACCAUGCAUCACCACCACAUCACCACUCACAUCACCACAAAGCACCACCACCACAUCACCACCAAGCACCACCACCACAUCAUGCAUCCUCAAACUGAGUCAUCGUCUUCAGAUGAAACUGUCAUCAACCUCCUUUUCACAUGUAUUCUUAGUUCCUAAUAAAAUGUGAUUGUUUCAUGUCUCAUUGUGUAUUUUUUAUUGUAUAAGAGCUCAUCAUCUUUUUAUUUGACAAAGACAAAUUUCAAUUGACAGCUUUUGAAAAAUGAAAAUAAUACAAUUAAAUUUCUAUAUAUUAAAAUUAAUUUAAGUUAAUUUGUAAACUAAACAAAAUAUAUUUUUUUGAAAAAUAUUCAAACUUUUACUUCCAACUUAUAUACAAAUUAAUUAUAAUUUAUGAUGAACUUUUUUAAUUGUUAAAAAAACUUGUAUAAAAAUAAUCUAAUUGGUUAUAUUUUCUUAAUUUUAAUUUUGAAAUGAAAAUGAGUUUAAUGUUGCUUUAAUUAUUAAAAAAUUGUAAUCAGAAUGAUAAUAAGAAGUUAAGGUAUCAAUCAAUUUGAAUCAAUCAAUAACGUGGAAGAAACUUCAUAAUAAGAGAAAGAAGAAUGAGUGUCUAUCUUUAAAACAUAUGUAACAACAAUGAUGAUAAAAUAUAACUAACACAAAGACAUUACUCUAAAGACAAACUAAAGAUAAUCAAAAUCAAUGUAAAAUUUUAUAUUAAACACCUUUGUAAGUAUCACUUAAUAUUUAAUCAAUAACAAUUCAUUUAUUACUAGGAAAAAUACAACAGAUUUAACGAUGAAAUUUAGAAACAUAAAUAUGAGAAUAUGUAUUUCAAUUCAAGGCAAUUACUUCUUGCACCUUAUAUUUUUUUUCCUACACCCUAUCACUUUUGGAAUUUGUUUUUCAAAACACAAUAAACAAUUUUUGAAAUUUUUUUUCCAAAAAUCAAUCACCCUUCCUUUUAUGCAAAAUAUUUCAGGAACUUUUGAUGGGUGCAGAAAGCUUUAUCCUCAAUUCAGUCUUGAUUCAAUAUGUUGAAGUUUGAAUAUGUGACCCCGAUUCCACAUGUUGGUGAGAAUCAAUUCUGAAUUAUGAAAAUCGAUUAUGCAAUUGUAGGAAAAUACUAUUAAUUUUUUGGGUUAAAUAUGUUUUUAGUUCCUAUACUUUGGGGCGAUUUUGGUUUUAGUCUCUCUUUCAAACUAAGGUACAAUUUAGUCCUUCAACUUUAGAAAACUAUGGUUUUAGUCUUUUUUAUCAAAUUUUUUUAACUUUAUUUGUUGUUUCAAACACGUUUCUCAGUUAACAUCGAAGCAAAAAUGUGUCAAACAGUGUAAACAAUCCAAAUGUUAUAAUGAAACGUGUUUGAAACAGCAAAUAAAGUUAAAAAAAUUUGGUAAAAAUGACUAAAACCAGAGUUUUCUAAAGUUGAAGGACUAAAUUGUAACUUAGUUUGAAAGAGGGACUAAAACCAAAAUUACCCCAAAGUAUAAGGACUAAAAACAUAUUUAACCCUAAUUUUUUUUAUGAAUGAAUGAAGGAGAAUCGAUUUUCCUCUUUAUACAUAUGUCAGAUUUUAGGUAAUGGUUUAUGCGUGGUUAGGUCAUGGUUUUUGGUUUUAACAAUUAUAAUAAUAAUAAUAAUAAUAAUAAUUUUAUAAUUUUAAAUAAUAACUUUAAUUUUAUUUUUACAUAAUUUUUUUUUAUUUAUAUCAUAUUUAUUUUCAAUGGUAAAAUAGUAAUAAUUUUUUUUAUCUAUUAAAACAUUUUUUUUUAAUUUAUUAUACUCGUUAUAUCAUAGACAAAUUUUCAUCUUAAAUUCAUUUCAAUGACACCAUCUUUCUCUUGAUCUAAACAAUUAUACAUUCAUCUCCUUUUUAUCUCAUAUCUAAACAAUUAAGUGACAUGGUUGUUUAAACUGAACACAUACAUUAUUUUGAUACGAAAAGAAAAAAAAAUGUAAAAUCCAACUCAAAAUUCGAUAUCCACGUAUAUGAAUUCCAUCUAGUAUUCCAACCACACAGCUCAAAACUUGGUCGUCCUAGGACCAAAUUCGUACGUACAACAUGCUAUAUGUGUAAAUAACUCAAAAUUUGAUUUCCGUAUAUGAAUUUCAGCUAAUAUUUCGACCACCCUGUACCAAAUCACAAUUCAAAAUUUAUUUCUCCUAGGACCGAAUUCUAACCUAGUAUAAAAUGUUAUAUGUGUAAAUAUUUAAAUUAUCUUAAAACUGAAUUCUAGCGUCAUACAAAAUGAUAUAUGUGUAAUUAUUUGACAAAUAUUAAUAUUCGAGAAAAAAAGUUGUAUGGCUGUUAUAUAUAUAAAUUUAAAUUAAAAUUAUAUGUAUUAAACAUUAUCAAAAUAAAAUUUGUAAAUUAUUGUUAUCACAAUAAUGUUUUAUUAAUAAAUGUUAGUAAAAUAUUCUAAAUUAUAUACAUGUCUAAAUAUGCAACCUAAUGUCUCAUUAUACAAUUUAAAUUGAAGUAUCAUACUCUGUUUGGUAAAAAAAUAUAUAUUAAAAAAUAAUUAAAUAUAUAGAAAUAAAUUUAUAUUUAAUAUGCAUGACUUAGCCCGUUACUAAUUUAAAUAUUUAAUAUACAACCUAAAUUGAAGUAUCAUACUAGAAAAAAAAAGUUAAAAAAUAAUUAAAUAUGUAGAGUUAAAUUUAUAUUUAAUGUGCAUGACUUAGUCCGUUAUUAAUUAAAAUAUUAAAAAAUAAUUAAGUUUAUAGAAUUAAAUUUAAAUUUAGUGUGCAUGAGUUAAGAGAGUUAUUAAUUAAAGAAUAUAAUUAUUUUAUAUAUUUUUGUGUGAAACGGUUUCCACCAUUUGAGUAUAAAUAGAUGAAUAAUUGAAGUUGAAUAACAUAUUCACUGAACAACAUGGAGUCUUCAAGAUGUUUUAUUGUCAAUAUGACAUUCUUGUUAGUUCUUUUCAUCAUGAUUUCAGGUUAUUAAUGAUGUUCUUUUCACUCUCUUCAGUUUCUCAAUUUAAAUGAGUUUUUUUUCUAUUACACUUCACAUUUGAUUUCUUACUAUAAAAUCAAAUCUUUCACAUAGUUUUUGUGUGGAAUUAGGAUUACUGUUUUAUUUGAAAAAUUAAGUUGACAUUGUUCUUAAUUAGAUCUUUGUAAUGCAGAUUUGUGCGUGAUGAAGACAAAAGCAAGAGGAAUCAUUUAUCGAACACCGUGUGAUAACAAUCAGCAAUGCCAAGUUGGAUGUCGUAAUCCAAAUUGUGGUUGUGCAGCAGUAUGCAUUGAACAUGUUUGUCAGUGUCCACAUCUAACUUCAACUCAUUGAUACUAUCAAAUCACCCCACCUAGCACCACCACCACACCACCAUCAGACACCACACCAAGCAGCAUCACCACACAACCAUGGUCCACUACAUAACCACUUAGCAUCACAGCCACGUUACCACAAAUCACCACCACCACCCCAUGCAUCCUCAAACUAAGUUAUUUUCUUUAGAUGAAAUUGAUCAUCAAUCUCUUUUUCACAUGUAUUCUUAAUUCUUAAUAAAAUGUGAUUGUAUCAUGUCUUUUUAUUGUAUCAAAGUUCAUCAUCUUUGUUUUAUUAUAAUAGAAGGGCUGCUCCAAACUUUAGCUUUUAAUCUUCAGUAAAAACAAAAUCAUGAUAAUGUUAAGUUCAAAUUCAACCUUAUCUUAUAUGUCAAAUUGUAAAGUUGUUCACAUAUUUAAUCACAUAUCGAACAAACUUCAAUUAUAAUACAUUAUCAAAUAUCAAUAUACAUAAAAGCAAUUCAAACAGCCACGUAACCUCUGCCUAAUAAUCCCAAACUAACCAUACACAUUAAACAUUCAUAAGGCACCAUGAUAGGCUAACUUGGUACAAGAUUUAUAUAUGUAAAUAUUUAAAUUAUCUUAUAAUUGAAUUCUACCCUCAUAAAAAAUUAUAUGUGUAAAUAUUUGACAAAUAUUAAUAUUCGAGAAAAAAAAUUUGUCAACAGUACUAUUUGACUCAAAAUUUCUCAAAUGGAGGUUUACAAGAAUAUUAUUUUAAUGCGACUCCACAAAAAUGUGAAUUCCUUCAAAAAAAAAACAUUUAUUUUGAUGGAAGUUCCACCAUUAUUCCUUAAAAUUAAAAAAAAAAAAAAUCAUUUCAUAAGCAAUUCUAUACAAUAUCAAGGAUUUUAUAUUUGUGAAACUUACAUCCCAAUAUUAUUUUUGUUGAUGAAUAAUUCAUGGGUUGAAUAGUGAGUUCAACACAAUAAGUAUUAAAAUAUUUUAUUUUUAGAAUAAUAAGAAAAAAAAUUAUACUACAAAAGUUUUAAUUCUAUUAAUUUUGUUUGAUUUUUGUUAAUAAUUAAAAAUGGGUUUGAUCUUUAAUAAUUAUUACGUGUUUGGCUUAUAUUAAAAUAUUUUUAUUAUUACUCAUAAGUAAUUAAAAAUGGGUUUGGUCUUUAAUAAUUAUUACGUGUUUGACUUAUAUAAUUGAUUAUAUAAGUUUCUUUUCAAUCAAAAUAAUUUUCUAAUGUGUGUCUCAAGUAACUCUACAAUUUUUACAAACUUGUGUAUGUGAGCUUCAAAGAUAAUGAAUUCAUGUAAAGAACUCCUUGAAAAUGCUCUUAUAUUAUCAUUUUUGAGUUUUUGAGAACAUCAUUCACAUUAAAUAAUGUUUCUAUUGGAAAGUAACUCUUAUUGGAAAUUGUAGCAGAACAUUUCCAAUAGAAUAAUAUGAUAGGAACAGCUGAUUAUAAAUUACUUAAAAAAUUAAAAAAAUAUAAUUACAUAUUCAAACUUUUAUAAAAAAAAAAAAUUCAUGUUUUACAUUUUAAAUUUUAAAUUUUUUACUUAAUUUUGAUUAUAGAAUAUUUUUAGAUUUAAUGAGGGGAGUAAUAAUAAUUGUUUAAAGAAAAAAUAUUUAUUUUCAAAACAAAAUAAAAAAGCAUUAAAUAACACCAUUUUAAAGAAAAAAUAAACAAUAAUUGAUUAAUUAAUUUAGAUACAGUUUUAUGAGGUCCACAGAACAGACUUUCAUGGCUAUAAAACCACUAUAGUUCUUCUUGUGGUUGUGUUGUGUUUUGGAGAAAGAAAGAGAUGGAAGGAGGAAGAAUGUGGUGGAGGGGUAAUCUUGGGGGGAGAAAGAGGGAUGACAUGAAAUAUUGUAAAAAAAAUCAAAAACAAAAUACUCCAAACAAAAGAACUAAAAAUAUUAAAAAAAUAUAAAUUUAAGUAACUCACAUGAAACUACCAAAACUUAAUUUAAUAGAAUGGCGAACUUUACAAUAAUAUUUCUUUUUUAAGAUAUGGCAUGUAUUUCAUACAUUGAUACGUGUAUUUAAAAAUUAUAGAAUAUUAUAGAAUACGAUAACAUACAAAAAUUCUUAAAUAUAUAUAUAUAUAUAUAUAUAUAUAUAUAUAUAUAUAUAUAUAUAUAUAUAUAUAUAUAUAUAUAAAUCUAAAUUAAAAUUAUAUGUAUUAAACAUAACUAAAAUAAAAUUCAUUAAUUAUUAUUUUCACAAUAUUGUUUUAUUAAUAAAUGUUAGUAAAAUAUUCUAAAGUAUAUACGUGUAUGAAUAUGCAACCUAAUGUCUCAAUAUAUAAUUUAAAUUGAAGUAUUAUACUCAAUUUAGUAAAAAAAAUAUUGAAAAAUAAUUAAAUCUAAAGAAAAAAAUUGUUAUUUAAUGUACAUGACUUAACCAAGUUACUAAUUAAAAUAUUCAAUAUACAACCUAAAUUGAAGUAUUAUAUUCUAUUUAAAAAAAAAUAUUAAAAAAUAAUUAAAUUUAUAAAAUUAAAUUUAUAUUUAAUGUGCAUGACUUAGCCCGUUACUAAUUAAAAUAUUAAAAAACAUAUUAAUUUAUAUGUAUUAAACAUAACUAAAAUAAAAUUCAUUAAUUAUCAUCUUCACAGUAUUGUUUUAUUAAUAAAUGUUAGUAAAAUAUUCUAAUGUAUAUACAUGUAUGAAUAUGCAACCUAAUGUCUCAAUAUAUAACUUAAAUUAAAGUAUUAUACUCUAUUUAGUAAAAAAAAUAUUGAAAAAUAAUUAAAUCUAAAGAAAAAAAAUUAUAUUUAAUGUGCAUGACUUAGCCAAGUUACUAAUUAAAAUAUUUAAUAUACAACUUAAAUUGAAGUAUUAUAUUCUAUUUAGAAAAAAAACAUAUUAAAAAAUAAUUAAAUUUAUAAUAUUAAAUUUAUAUUUAAUGUGCAUGACUUAGCCAAUUACUAAUUAAAAUAUUAAAAAACAUAUUAAUUUAUAUGUAUUAAACAUAACUAAAAUAAAAUUCAUUAAUUAUUAUUUAUCACAAUAUUGUUUUAUUAAUAAAUGUUAGUAAAAUAUUCUAAUGUAUAUACGUGUAUGAAUAUGCAACCUAUUGUCUCAAUAUAUAACUUAAAUUAAAGUAUUAUACUCUAUUUAGUAAAAAAAAUAUUGAAAAAUAAUUAAAUCUAAAGAAAAAAAUUUAUAUUUAAUGUGGAUGACUUAGCCAAGUUACUAAUUAAAAUAUUCAAUAUACAACCUAAAUUGAAGUAUUAUAUUCUAUUUAGAAAAAAAAAUAUUAAAAAAUAAUUAAAUUUAUAAAAUUAAAUUUAUAUUUAAUGUACAUGACUUAGCCCGUUACUAAUUAAAAUAUUAAAAAACAUAUUAAUUUAUAUAAUUAAAUUUAUAUUUAGUGUGCAUGAGUCAAGAGAGUUACUAAUUAAAUAAUACAAUUAUUUGUUGUCUUUUUGUGUGGAACGGUUUCCACCCUUUUAGUAUAAAUAAAUGAAUAGUUGUGGUUGAAUAACAAAUUGAGUGAACAAUAUGGGUUCUUCAAGAUGUUUUAUUGUCAACGUGACAUUCUUGUUAACUCUUUUCAUCAUGACUUCAGGUUAUUAAUGAUAUUUUUUUUACUCUCUUUAUUUUCUCAAUUCAAAUGAAUCUCUCUUUUUUUUUACACUUCACAUUUAAUUUCUUAUGAAAUCAAAUCUUUCACGUAGUUUUUUUAGUGGAAUUAAGGUUAUUGUUUUAAGUGAAAAUGUGAUUUGGCAUUGUUCUUAAUUAGAUUUUUGUAAUGCAGAUUUGUGCAUGAUGAAGACAAAUGCAAGAGGAAUCAUUUAUCGAUCACCAUGUGAUAACGAUAAGCAGUGCCAAGUUGGAUGUCAUAAUCCAAAUUGUGGUUGUGCAGCAUUAUGCAUUGAACAUGUUUGCCAGUGUCCACAUCUAACUUCAACUCAUACUGAUAUUGUCAAAUCACCCCACCUAGCACCACCACCACACCACCAUCAGCAACAACACCAAGCACCACCACCACACCACCACAACCCACCACACUACUACCCAAAUCACCACCAUGCAUCACCUCCACACCACCAUCAGCCACCACACCAAGCACCACCACCACACCACCACCCACAUCACCACCAUGCAUCACCGCCACACCACCAUCAACCACCACACCAAGCACCACCACCACAUCACCACUAAGCACCACUUCAUGUAUCAUCAAACUGAGUCAUCUUCUUCAGAUGGAAUUGUCAUCGACUUUCUUUUCAUAUGUAUUCUUAGUUCUAAAUAAAAUGUGAUUGUUUCAUGGUUCAUCAUCUUUGUUAGAUUGGAUUGAUUGAUAAAACACAUUUCAAUUGACAACUUUUGAAAAAUGAAAAUGAUGCGAUUAAAUUUCUAUAAAUUAAAAUUAAUUUAAAUAAAUUCGUAAAAAAACAAAAUAUAAUUUUUUAAAAAUUAUUCAAACUUUUACUUACAACUUAUAUACAAAUUAAUUAUAAUUUAUGAUGAAAUUUUUUAAUUGUUGAAAAAACCUUGUACAAAAAUAAUCUAAUUCGUUAUAUUUGCUUGAAUUUAAUUUUGAAAUGAAAAGGAGUUUAAUUUUUCUUUAAUAAUUAAAACAUUGUAAUCAGGAUGAUGAUGAUAAUAAGAAGUUAAGGUAUCAAUCAAUUUGAAUCAAUCAAUAAUAUUAAUGAGGAAGCAACUUCAUAAUAAGAGAAAGAAGAAUCACUGUUUAUCUUUAAAACAUGAUCAAGCAACAACAAUGAUGAUAAAAUAUAACUAACACAAAGACAUUACUCUAAAGACAAACUAAAGAUAAUCAAAAUCAAUUUAAAUUCUUAUAUUAAACACCUUGUAAGUUUCACUUAAUAUUUAGUCAAAUAACAAUUCAUUUCUUGAACCUUAUAUAUAUUUGUUUUCCUACACCCUAUCACUUUCUGAAUUUGUUUUUCAAAACACAAUACACAAUUUUGAAAAAAAAAUUCUAAAAUCAAUAACGCUCCUUUUAAGGAAAACAUUUUUAGUAACUUUUGAUGGGGUGCAGAAAGCUUUAGCCCCAAUUCAGUCUUGAUUCAAUAUGCCAAAGUUUGAAUAUGUGACCCCGAUACCACAAGAUGUUGAUGAGAAUCGAUUCUGAAUUGUGAGAGUCGAUUAUGAAAUUGCAGGAAAAUGCUAUUAAAUUGUUUAUGAAUGAAUGAAGGAGAAUAGGUUCUCCUCUUUAUGCAUAUGUGAGGUUUUAGGUAAUGGUUUAUAUUUUAACAAUCAUAAUAAUAAUAGUAUUUUUAUAAUAAAUAAUAACUUUAAUUUUAUUUAACAUAAUUUUUAGUAUUUAUAUCAUUUAUUUUCAAUAGUAAAAUAGUAAUAAUUUAAUUUUAUAUAUUAAAACAUUUUUUUAAUUUAUUAUACUCAUCAUAUCAUUCACAAAUUUUCAUCUUAAAUUCAUUCCAAUCACACCAUUUUUCUCUUAAUCUAAACAAUUAUACAUUCACUUCCUUUUUAUCUCAAAUCUAUCUUCAAUUUCAUCUUCAAAUUCAAAUGAAAUUUUGUUUAGAGAAGUGCUCAUAUGAACAACUUGAUUAACUUCAAAUCUAAAGGAAGAGCUGAUUAUACAUUACUUAAAAAGUUAAACGAUAUAAUUACAUAUUCAAUCUUUUAUAAAAAAAAAAUUGUUUCACAUUUUUAAAUUUUAAAUUAUUUAGUUAAUUUUAAUUAUAGAAUAUUUUUAGAUUAAAUGAGCGGAGUAAUAAUAAUUGUUUAAAGAAAAAAAUAUUUAUUUUCAAAACAAAAAAAAAUCAUUAAAUAACACCAUUUUAAAGAAAAAAACAAUUAUUGAUUGAUUAAUUUAGAUACAUUUUUUCGUAUGUGUUUUAUGAGGUCCACACAACAGACUUUCAUGACUAGAAAACCACUAUAGUUCUUCCUGUGGAGAAAGAAGGAGAUGGAAGGAGAAAAAAAAGGCACUGGAGGGAUAAUAUGAGAGAGAAAGAGGAAUGAGAUGAAAUAUUGUAAAAAAAAAUCAAAAAGAAAAUACUCGAAAAAAAUGAACUAAAAAUAUUAAAAAGUAUAAAUUCAAGUAACUGACAUGAAACUACCAAAAGUUAAUUUAAUAGAAUGGCCAACUUUACACUAUUUUAAAUAAAAUUGGUAUCUAUAAUGUAGGGAUAUGAUAUUUGUAUAAGAUACUACUUGUAUUUCAUACAUUGAUACGUUUAUUUAAAAAUUAUAGAAUACGAUAAACAUACAAAAUUUCUUAAGAGUUAAAUAUGUUUUUAAUCCCUAUACUUUGGGGCAAUUUUGGUUUUAGUCCCUCUUUUAAUCUAAGGUACAAUUUAGUCUUUAAAUUUUAGAAAACUUUAGUUUUAGUCAAUUUUAACAAAAAUUUUUUAACUUUAUUUGUUGUUUCAAACAGUAAAUAAAGUUAAAAAAAUUGUUCCAAAGUUAAAAAAUUUGAUAAAAAGGACUAAAAUCAGAGUUUACUAAAAGUUAAAGGACUAAAUUGUACCUUAGUUUGAAAUAGGUACUAAAACCAAAAUUGCCCCAAAGUAUAGAGACUAAAAACAUAUUUAAUCCAUUUCUUAAAUAUAUGGUUGUUAUAUAUAUAUAUAUAUAUAUAUAUAUAUAUAUAUAUAUAUAUAUAUAUAAAUUAAAAUUAUAUGUAUUAAAAAUGACCAAAAUAAAAUUCGUUAAUUAUUGUCAUCACAAUACUGUUUUAUUAAUAAAUGUUGAUAAAAUAUUCUAAAGUGUAUACGUGUCUGAAUAUGCAUCUAAUGUCUCAAUGUACAAUCUAAAUUAAAGUAUCAUACUUUAUUUAGCAAAAAAAAAUAUUGAAAAAUAAUUAAAUCUAUAAAAUUAAAUUUUUAUUUAAUGUGCAUUACUUAGUCAGUUACUAAUUAAAUAUUAAAAAUUAAUUAAAUGUACAUUUAAUGUGCAUGAGUUACGAGAGUUACUAAUUAAAGAAUAUAAUUAUUUAUUGUCUUUUAGUGUGAAAUGACUGUCAUCGUUUGAGUAUAAAUAGAUGAAUAGUUGUAGCUGAAGAACACAUUCAGUGAACAACAUGGAGUAUUCAAAAUGUUUUAUUGUUAAUGUGACAUUGUUGUUAGUUUUUUUCAUCAUGACUUCAGGUUAUUAAUGAUGUUCUUUUCACUCUCUUUAGUUUCUCAAUUCAAAUGAGUCUUAUUCUUUUACACUUCAGAUUGAAAUCAAGUCUUUCAGUUAGUUUUUGUAUGGAAUUAGGAUUACUGUUUUAUUUGAAAAAUUAAGUUGUCAUUGUUCUUAAUUAGAUCUUUGUGAUGCAGAUUUGUGCAUGAUGAAGACAGAAGCAAGAGGAAUCAUUUAUCCAUUACGACACCAAGCACCACCACCACACCACCAUGGCCCACCACACCAAGCACCACCACCACAUCACCAUGGCCCAUCACACCACCACCCACAUCACCACCAUGCAUCACCACCACACCACCACUCACAUCACCAUAAAGCACCAGCACCACACCACCACUCACAUCACCACCAAGCACCACCACCACAUCAUGCAUCCUCAAACUGAGUCAUCUUCUUUAGAUGAAAUUGUUAUCAACCUCCUUUUCACAUGUAUU